rnacentral:rRNA from 1 species
UACGGAGGGUGCAAGCGUUAUCCGGAUUCACUGGGUUUAAAGGGUGCGUAGGAGGGCAGGUAAGUCAGUGGUGAAAUCUCCAAGCUUAACUUGGAAACUGCCGUUGAUACUAUCUGUCUUGAAUACCGUGGAGGUGAGCGGAAUAUGUCAUGUAGCGGUGAAGUGCUUAGAUAUGACAUAGAACACCAAUUGCGAAGGCAGCUCGCUACACGAAUAUUGACACUGAGGCACGAAAGCGUGGGGAUCAAACAGG